rnacentral:rRNA from 2 species
GGCGGCGUGCUAAUACAUGCAAGUCGAGCGGACUAGAAGGGAGCUUGCUCCCGGAUGUUAGCGGCGGACGGGUGAGUAACACGUGGGUAACCUGCCUGUAAGACUGGGAUAACUCCGGGAAACCGGAGCUAAUACCGGAUAGUUCCUUGAACCGCAUGGUUCAAGGAUGAAAGACGGUUUCGGCUGUCACUUACAGAUGGACCCGCGGCGCAUUAGCUAGUUGGUGGGGUAAUGGCUCACCAAGGCGACGAUGCGUAGCCGACCUGAGAGGGUGAUCGCCACACUGGGACUGAGACACGGCCCAGACUCCUACGGGAGGCAGCAGUAGGGAAUCUUCCGCAAUGGACGAAAGUCUGACGGAGCAACGCCGCGUGAGUGAUGAAGGUUUUCGGAUCGUAAAGCUCUGUUGUUAGGGAAGAACAAGUGCGAGAGUAACUGCUCGCACCUUGACGGUACCUAACCAGAAAGCCACGGCUAACUACGUGCCAGCAGCCGCGGUAAUACGUAGGUGCCAAGCGUUGUCCGGAAUUAUUGGGCGUAAAGGGCUCGCAGGCGGUUUCUUAAGUCUGAUGUGAAAGCCCCCGGCUCAACCGGGGAGGGUCAUUGGAAAUGGGAAACUUGAGUGCAGAAGAGGAGAGUGGAAUUCCACGUGUAGCGGUGAAAUGCGUAGAGAUGUGGAGGCACACCAGUGGCGAAGCGACUCUCU